AAAAGUCUUAAGUAGUUUCUCAGGCAAGGCAGAAUUUCUUAUAAAAUGUCCACUAAUGAUAUUUCGCAUUUACCUAGACCUUUGCAGUUUGAACAGGGGGACCUUCCUAACUAUCACAUGACCCUCAAACAUGCCAUGGACUCGAUAUGUGUGAUCUUUGUACAGCCUUGCGGGCUGUGAGAAUGGUGACAGCUGAUAAUGACUCACUAUCAGCCAGAAACCCAACAUAUCUGACCACAAUCCGAUAGUAUUAAAAAUGGUGCUUACAGAUAAUCUGCCAUGCUCGGCUCUUAAAGAAGCAGCGUGACUGCUAUGUGCAUAAUAGAGUGGAUGCCUUCAGUCCCUAAAAAGUGAAACAGAAAAACCACAAUCAAUAAAUUGGCUCUGGGACACCAACAAAUUUUGGAAAGACAUCUCUGCUCACCAGAGCUAACAGUGAUGACCAAAAUCGUCCACAAAAUUUAUUUUGUGAAGGGAAAGAAAUAAUCUUUAAAAAUGAAACAGAACAGAAGAGAAAUUGUUGGAACACAUCACAGCCAAGGAGAAAAAGGCUGAAAUUCCUGUGGUUCUCCAAAUGGCAAGGGAUAACUUCCCAGAAUCCUCCAGUAAACUGCUGCUUACAUCUUGUUGACCAGAAGUGAAUAGUUGACUCUUUCCUAAGUCCAGUACUGACAGGAAGAUGACAACCCCCUGACCAAUCAGGCUUCUCUCGGAUCUGGUACCAGCUUUUCCCGAACACAGGGCUGGAGGAGAAGAAAGCAAAAUUGAAGUUUUAGUAAGAACAGGGGAAACAUAUGUUGCUGAGUUGGCACCCAACAAAAUUCAUUUCAAAUAAGAAUUUUUCACAACUUUGAUUAGAUGUUCUAGUCUACUUGACAUUAAGUAUUUCCAUCA